rnacentral:rRNA from 1 species
GCUUGUCUCAAAGAUUAAGCCAUGCAUGUCUCAGUAUAAGCUUUUACACGGCGAAACUGCGAAUGGCUCAUUAAAACAGUUAUCGUUUCUUUGGUGGUUAUUGAUUACAUGGAUAACCGUGGUAAUUCUAGAGCUAAUACAUGCAUUCAAGCCCCGACUUCUGGAAGGGGUGUAUUUAUUAGAUAAAAAUCAACUUUGUUGGUGAAUCAUAAUAACUUCUCGGACCGCAUGGCCUCGUGCUGGCGGUGCUUCAUUCAAAUAUCUGCCCUAUCAACUGUCGAUGGUAGGAUAGAGGCCUACCAUGGUUGCAACGGGUAACGGGGAAUAAGGGUUCGAUUCCGGAGAGGGAGCCUGAGAAACGGCUACCACAUCCAAGGAAGGCAGCAGG